AGUAACACGUGGGUAAUCUACCUUUGGGUGGGGAAGAACUCAGGGAAACUUGAGCUAAUACCGCAUAAUGCUACGGCUCGACAUCGAGUCGUUGUUAAAGUAGCAAUACGCCUGAAGAGGAGCCUGCGCCUGAUUAGCUAGUUGGUAGGGUAACGGCCUACCAAGGCUUCGAUCAGUAGCUGGUCUGAGAGGACGGCCAGCCACAAUGGCACUGAAACACGGGCCAU
rnacentral:rRNA from 1 species